CCUACGGGUGGCUGCAGUGAGGAAUAUUGGUCAAUGGGCGCGAGCCUGAACCAGCCAAGUAGCGUGAAGGAUGACUGCCCUACGGGUUGUAAACUUCUUUUAUCAAGGGAUACAGUGAGGAACGUGUGCCUUUUUGUAUGUCCUUUAUGAUAAACGAUCGGCUAACUCCGUGCCAGCAGCCGCGGGAAUCCGGAGGAUCCGAGCGUUUUCCGGCUUUAUUGGGUUUAAGGGGAGCGUAGAUGGGUUGUUAAGUCGGUGUUGAAAGUUUGCGGUGCAACGGGAGAAGUGCAAUUGAUACUGGCUGUCUUGAGUACAGUUGCGGUAGGAGGAAUGUGUGGUGUAGCGGUGAAAUGCUUAGAUAUCACGCAGAACUCCGAUUGCGAAGGCAGCUUACGAAACUGCCACUGACAUUGAUGCUCGAAAGUGUGGGUAUCAAACAGGAUUAGAGACCCCAGUAGUC
rnacentral:rRNA from 1 species